AUGGCUAACCGUUUAUUACAAAGAAGGACAUUGAAACAACAAAACACACACAAAACAGGUCUGGGCAGUCUAAGUUAUUCUUGUCUUCUGGUCACAAUCCUUCUUGCUUCACACCAACACUCUCUUCGCAUCACCAACAACACUCUCUCCUCACACCACAUCCUCCUCUUGUCCCAAAGCAGACGCCAUUUUGAGUCCUCUUCCCUAUUACAGCCCACCAAUCAUGGCAGGAAGUGGGAGGAGUCCAAUCAUGGAGCCACCUGCAACAUUACGGAGAGAGAGAGACAGAAAGAGAGAGAGAGAGAGAGAGACACACAAACAGAACACACCCAUACUCUGCCACGGGACGUCACAGGAUGAUGAGUCUCAGCUUGUGGAGAAACUACAGCAGCAGAUGGUGGAUCAGGAAGAGGUACGUUUACACCCGCCCACUCCCCGACACACCCACCCACUCCCCGAUAUUCUUCAAGUCUUGUGUAAAAAUCACCCACUUUCUGAAAAUGCUGAGUGAUUCUUGAGGUGAUUAUUUUAUUUUUUUGCUUUUAUAUCAGUGUUAGUGUCCCCUAAUACUGUAUCUGAAGUCCCUUUGUGCAUAAUUACAACCACUUUGAUCCAGUCCAAAAAUGAGAUUUCUGUAUGAAUGUCUGUAGCUUUCAAAUGCUAAUGAGGAGGAGAGAGGCGGGAUGAGGAGGGGAGCGACCUAUAGAAGUUGAGUGGACAUUAGUGGAAAUGACAUCAUCACACCAUUCACCAAUUACAAUGUCUGGUGCAGACAGUUUUAAUCCUAUUCAUUAUUCUAAAAUCACUGUUUUUACAGCCUUUUGCAUGAAGUAACUAAACAAAUACAUUAGUGCUCAUUUUCAGAGAGCAACUGCAAUGAUGACAUAAGGGAACAAAUUCCAGAUCAGACUGUUUGAACUGCCGCUCUCUUCUUCAUCAUCUGGAAACGACUCUCUUGCUGCUCAUUUUUCUGUUCCAGCAACAUCCUGAGUGUCGCAGAUAUGCUGGACAAUCUAGGGAUAAACUAAACAUCUAGGUCACCAUCCCACAUGCCUCACAUCCUCUUUGCAUUGUGGUCUAUCCAUAUCAGCUAUGGCUCAUGUUUUUCUUCAGCCAAUUAACAUUUUUUUGUUCAAUUUCAGGUUGACAAUUUUUUUUUUGUGAAGUGAUUGUCAAUGUGAAACCACAGCACAGCACAUGGUGACACAACAAAAUGUGUCCUCUGCUUUUAACCAUCACCCUUGGUGAGCAGUGGGCAGCCAGUAGUGCAUGCCUGCAGGAAAGUUCCAUUUGCACUGAGAGAGAAAUUUAAGAAACAAACUUGCAUGCAUGGAAAGUUAUUGAACGUUAUAAAGGAAGAUUGAUGAACUGACUGAUUGGGUGAGAUCUCAUACUGCAGAAGACAAAUGAUGAAUUACAAAUAUGUUUGGAUGCUAGAGAUGCUGUGACGCUAGCUGUGAUUUCUUAUUUUUCCUCUCCGCUGCUCUUAGUUCCCUUCGACUGCUGUGCAACGUCUCAGAUAGCCAGAGAGCAGGGGGAGAAGUUCUUUUGGGUGUGGAAGAAAGAGGGCAGAGAUGAUCCAUAGAAAGGAAAAGUGAGGAGAAUGUUAGUGGCGGUUUCCAGGGGUAAGGAGAAGAACGAGUCAGAGAUAUGAAAGAUGUGAAAGAGUGCAGGAAGGUGAGACCGAGUGAAGGUUAUGUAGAAUGAGUAAUUAAUGGUGGUCAGUCUUGGAUCCGAUAGGUAAAGUGAGGGUGAAGGACAGAAUGUGGUGGUCAGAGAUGUGAAGUGGAGUGGAAGAAAGGACGGUAGGUGGAGAGGGACGAAUGAAGACCAGGUCCAGGUCCAUUCCCUUUCCUCUUUUGUUGCUGUUGGCCCAGGAUAAAGAGUGGAGAUUAAUGAGGCCCAAUAUAUGGUGUGAGGCAUGUAAGACAUAAAAUAUCCGUACAGGUUGCAUCAACAGAAAAAAAUGCUCACAUUCCCUUUAAAUGUUAGUUACUUUUACCUGAGCAUGCAUGUCAUACGAAUAAGUGAAGCGCUAUAAUAAAAUUUCAUACUGCAUCA
ensembl:lncRNA